GCUAUUCUUGGAUUGGUAGCAUGCAGAGUAUGGCUCUUUUUUGAAAGCUAUGCACAAUUGUUGCAUGGAUUAAGUAUUCAAAUAUUAAAACAAGUCAUUGAACUUUGUUAUUCACCAUUGAGUGCUUGGUUGGAAAAUAUAAUCCCAUGCCACUUGUGCAAGGGGGUGAAAGUUCAGUUGAAGUCAGCCCUCAAAGAUACCAGUAUUGAGGAGAAACAAGAAAUCAGCCC
rnacentral:lncRNA from 1 species